CUUAAAACUAUUUUUUUUUUAAAGGAGCUGAUCCUCUGGAGCCUCAUCUCAGUUGCUGAUCAAAGGUUUAAACUGAAAGUAGUUCUCACAAAUCCUGGGCGAUUUCCCCUCAUUUUCAGACACGUUCAACAUGUAACUGACUCGGUGACUAAUCUUCCAGCUUUUAGGCUGGACCUGACAAUGGUGGAGCCCUAGUGUGACUGUGAGGGAAGGCCUCUCCUCGGGGGAAUAAUGAUUGCCUCAGCGGCAGGCGUUUCCUGAAUGGCCUCACCUGCUCAUCAGUGGGUUGGGAUGCUGGCCGCAGAUGUGGAAUUUCCAUGAAGGCAACAUUACCCAGGGAAGCCUGAGGCAGGUUGAUCACACAAAAAGAAUCUGUGUCCCAUAGGUUCACUGGAGCACAUAACAAUUGCCUACAAACACAACUAAA